UCAAAGUUGCUUAUUAGAAUAAUCGUGUUUGCCAUUGUCAGGUGAUUUCUUUUCCAGCCAGCUAACCUAUUUUAAAGUUGUCGAUAAGUUGAUAAUCCCUUUUGAUAGGUUUUUCAGUGAAUAUUGAAAAUUCUAGGUAUUUACCAAAAAACGUGCCUUCCUUCAUGUUGAAGGAGGACAAAAUAAAAUCCUUGUUAUGAGUGGUGCAGUACUUUAAAAAGAUUUUUGAUUUGUCAAAAAAUUAUUUUUUCCCCGAAUUGUGCUGUAAAAUUGUAUAAUAGUUCGAUUAUUGUAUGACAACUUGCAGUAGUUAUCUUAGAAGCCAGUAUAAUAUUGCCAACAAAGAAGAGAUGAGAUAUUUGA
rnacentral:lncRNA from 1 species